UUCAACUGCCAGACAUGAUGCUAGAAGCUAAGAGUCCUCAAGGGACUUACUUCCCUUUAAUAGAGGAAGAGAGAGAAAGAAAUCAAUGAGGAUUACACUAUGUGACAGUCAAGGAGCCUAAAGAAGAACAAUGCAAAUAAGUGGUUGUGUCGGGCAGCGAAGGGACAUGCUGAGAGGUGACAGGGUCAAGCUUGGCUUGGGAUGCAGUGGUUAAGAGUACUGACCCCAGAAUCAAGCUGCCUGACUUGCAAUCCUGGUCUCUACUGCCAUCCAUGUAACCUUGGGUUUUUGGUGAUUUCCAAUCACCAUUCAUCGCUACAGAUACUCCUGAAUAUUCUGUGCCUGCCUUCCAGGCCCCAGUAUCCUCAGCAGUCCCUCAGCUUGCUGCCUCCAGGGACCAACGUGGAGAUGGAAGAAGAAGAUCUGUCAGAGUUGGAAUCUGGGAAGCAGUGAACAAGUCUCUUCUCCAUUCUUUCUCCAUACACCCACCUGAAGCUCUGAAGACUGACUUGACUGCAACCUUUGAAGGAGUAGAACAAACUAAAGAUAAAAAUUCCAUCACAGAAUUAAUGAAAAGAAAGGGGGGGAAAAAAAAAGCCCCGAGGUUUCUAAGCUACAGAAAUGACAAUUGAAGGAACUAUGAGUGGUUCAGAAGAUAUGUCACCUCAAGGACAAAAUAUUAAAGAGAAGAAUUUCUUUAUGAAGUCAAAAGUUUUCCAGGAGUCACUCUACUGUCUAAAAAAUAUGAUGGCUUAAUAUUCAGAUAAGAUCUUCUGAGAAUUAUUUUAUUUCCACUAGAAGGAAAAAAUUAUGCUUGUCUUAGUAACUUGGCUACAUUAUUUAAAUCCUUUUGGAUGGAGGAAAGACAAAUCCUUAACAAUACUUACUGGGUCAUUAACGUGCUUUCAUAUACUAAGGCAUUAAGCCUGAUUUAAAGAUG